rnacentral:rRNA from 1 species
AUUGAACGCUGGCGGCGUGGCUAAAGCAUGCAAGUCGAGCGAACCCGCAAGGGUGAGCGGCGGACGGGUUAGUAAUACGAUCGAACGUGCCCUGAGGCGGGGGAUAGGCGUGGGAAACUGCGCGUAAUACCCCAUGAUCUCUCCGGAGCAAAGGUUUACCACCUUGGGAUCGGCGAUCGUCCUAUCAGCUAGUUGGCGGGGUAAAGGCCCACCAAGGCUAUGACGGGUAGCAGGUGNGAGAGCACGACCUGCAACAUCGGGACUGAGACACUGCCCGGACUCCUACGGGAGGCUGCAGCGACGAAUCUUCCGCAAUGGGCGCAAGCCUGACGGAGCGACGCCGCGUGUGGGAUGAAGCGCCUUCGGCGUGUAAACCACUGUCAGGGAACAGAACCAAUGAUCGUU